AUACGUAGGGGGCGAGCGUUGUCCGGAAUGAUUGGGCGUAAAGGGCGCGUAGGCGGCCCGGUAAGUCUGGAGUGAAAGUCCUGUUUUUAAGAUGGGAAUUGCUUUGGAUACUGUCAGGCUUGAGUGCAGGAGAGGUAAGUGGAAUUCCCAGUGUAGCGGUGAAAUGCGUAGAGAUUGGGAGGAACACCAGUGGCGAAGGCGACUUACUGGACUGUAACUGACGCUGAGGCGCGAAAGUGUGGGGAGCAAACAGGAUUAGAUACCCUGGUAGUCCACACUGUAAACGAUGAAUGCUAGGUGUAGGGGGUAUCGACCCCUUCUGUGCCGCAGUCAACACAAUAAGCAUUCCGCCUGGGGAGUACGGCCGCAAGGUUGAAACUCAAAGGAAUUGGCGGGG
rnacentral:rRNA from 1 species